UCCCAGACUCCUACGGGAGGCAGCAGUGGGGAAUAUUGGACAAUGGGGGGAACCCUGAUCCAGCGACGCCGCGUGAGUGAAGAAGUAUUUCGGUAUGUAAAGCUCUAUCAGCAGGGAAGAAAGAAAUGACGGUACCUGACUAAGAAGCCCCGGCUAACUACGUGCCAGCAGCCGCGGUAAUACGUAGGGGGCAAGCGUUAUCCGGAUUUACUGGGUGUAAAGGGAGCGUAGACGGCAAUGCAAGUCUGGAGUGAAAGGCGGGGGCCCAACCCCCGGACUGCUCUGGAAACUGUGCAGCUAGAGUGCAGGAGAGGCAGGCGGAAUUCCUAGUGUAGCGGUGAAGUGCGUAGAUAUUAGGGGGAACACCGGUGGCGAAGGCGGCCUGCUGGACUGUAACUGACGUUGAGGCUCGAAAGCGUGGGGAGCAAACAGGAUUAGAUACCCCCGUAC
rnacentral:rRNA from 1 species